GGCUCCUUGUAAUUUCAUAAAUAGGGAGUCGGACCUGCCCAGUGAAAAUAAGUUUCAACGGCCGCGGUACCCUGACCGUGCGAAGGUAGCAUAAUCAUUUGCCUUAUAAUUAAAGGCUAGUAUGAAUGGUUUGACUAGAACAAAGCUGUCUCUUUAUAAUUUAAUAGAAUUUUAUUUUUAGGUGAAGAAGCCUAGAUAUAAUUAAUAGACAAGAAGACCCUAUCGAGCUUAAAAAAAAUUAAUAGAAUACAUACUUAUAUUUAUACAAAAUUGGCUAUUAAAAAUUUUGGUUGGGGCGACUCAGGAACAAUUAAAGCUUCCUGAAACUAUAUAAUUUACAUAUGUUGAUCCAAAUUUUUUGAUUAAAGAAAUUAGUUACCGUAGGGAUAACAGCAUUAUCUUCUUUAAGAGUUCAUAUCGAAAAGGGGGUUUGUGACCUCGAUGUUGGACCAGAAUAUCCCAAAGAUGCAGAAGUCUUUAAAGGUUGGUCUGUUCGACCAUUAAAAUUCUACG
rnacentral:rRNA from 1 species